rnacentral:rRNA from 1 species
UGGAGAUGAGGUUUCAAUGCACCUUGUGGUGCGGAGGUGUCCUAGCGACGAUGGGGUUGAUAGGCCGGAUGUGGAAGACGAGUAAUGGUUGUAGCUGACCGGUACUAAUGAACCGAUAACUUAUUAUC